rnacentral:misc_RNA from 1 species
GCAGCUUUUACCAAUUUCUUAGCUGGAAGAUGUUUCAACAGCUCUAAAAUUUGUAAUGUGCAUUCCUACAUGUUGAUUGAUUAAUUAUGAUAGAAGUUGAGGCAAGUUUGCCAUAUCAGACUAUGCUUCGACUUUAUGAUUCUAAUUAUCAGCAAUUUCCCAUUUCUUUAUCGGUUUUGGUACACUUGCUUUCAUUGGUUUAGAAAUUAGUUGGAGAGGAAAAGUGGAGUGGUGUUCGGGCAUUUUGCCUUGACCUAGCGUUGCAGUUUUUUCACAUUUAGAUGGUGAUAAUGGUAAGUAUCUUGCUUACUGUGCUAAAAUGACAGAACUAACCUUGAAUGUCUGAUGUACUCAUUAAGUCAGAACAAAAAAGCCUUUACAUUCCCACGCCCAGUACCUGUCAAAGAUUCUAUUUUCAUCUCUUAUCCUUGUUAGAGGACUAUUUCCCGCCAAAAAAAAGCUUCUUACCCUGUUUUUCAUUACAGUCCCUCUUUUUACUGCCUCUAAUUCCACCUCUGGAACAGCACUUGA